AUUGGGAGAAUGAAAUGAAAUAAUUAGUUCUGGUUCUUCUUCCUACUAAGAUGUUUACAUGAUAUAAUUACUGAAUUUCUCCAACAAGAUCAGCAGAAGAAGGGGGCAAAUGGUCCUUGCUUGCAUGACAGAACAGAUUCCAACCCCUCAGACCUCCCACAGCCCCCUACAAUCUCCCUUAGCCAGCUUAACCUCUCUUCAACUGUAAUCCUGCUUUCAAAGAAGCCUAGCAAACCAGCUCAACCCUGCCUAAUGCCCGCCCAGACACAACCCUCUGCUGCCUUAACUCCAUGAACCCGGGUCUGUGAGAGAGCGCACCUCUCUACCAGGUGCUCUGUGCUCUUGCUAAUGACGGGAGCAGCUGGAUCCAGAGGAUUCGUCAGCCUUGGACUGGAUCCCUUUCUGUUAUUUUGUCAGCAGCCUCCAGAAUUGGAAAACCCAGGGCCAGAUGGAGGACCAUAACAGGUAACAGGCUGACAGUGUGCACAGGAAGCAAACAGUCCUGGGUGUGAGGAAAAAAGGAGAUUAA